AGUGAACGCUGGCGGUAGGCCUAACACAUGCAAGUCGAACGGCAGCACAGUAAGAGCUUGCUCUUACGGGUGGCGAGUGGCGGACGGGUGAGGAAUACAUCGGAAUCUACUUUUUCGUGGGGGAUAACGUAGGGAAACUUACGCUAAUACCGCAUACGACCUACGGGUGAAAGCAGGGGAUCUUCGGACCUUGCGCGAUUGAAUGAGCCGAUGUCGGAUUAGCUAGUUGGCGGGGUAAAGGCCCACCAAGGCGACGAUCCGUAGCUGGUCUGAGAGGAUGGUCAGCCACACUGGAACUGAGACACGGUCCAGACUCCUACGGGAGGCAGCAGUGGGGAAUAUUGGACAAUGGGGGCAAGCCUGAUCCAGCCAUACCGCGUGUGUGAAGAAGGCCUUCGGGUUGUAAAGCCGUUUUGUUGGGAAAGAAAAGCAGCAGGUUAAUACCCCGCUGUUCUGACGGUACCCAAAGAAUAAGCACCGGCUAACUUCGUG
rnacentral:rRNA from 1 species